UACGAAGGGGGCUAGCGUUGUUCGGAAUUACUGGGCGUAAAGGGCGCGUAGGCGGUGUGUCAAGUCAGGCGUGAAAGCCCCGGGCUCAACCUGGGAACCGCGCUUGAGACUGGCACGCUCGAGUUCGGGAGAGGAUGGUGGAAUUCCCAGUGUAGAGGUGAAAUUCGUAGAUAUUGGGAGGAACACCGAUGGCGAAGGCAGCCAUCUGGACCGACACUGACGCUGAGGCGCGAAAGCGUGGGGAGCAAACAGG
rnacentral:rRNA from 1 species